rnacentral:rRNA from 1 species
CACGUAGGGCGCAAGCGUUGUCCGGAAUUAUUGGGCGUAAAGAGCUCGUAGGCGGUCUGUUGCGUCCGCUGUGAAAACUCGGGGCUUAACCCCGAGCCUGCAGUGGAUACGGGCAGACUAGAGGUAGGUAGGGGAGAAUGGAAUUCCCGGUGUAGCGGUGAAAUGCGCAGAUAUCGGGAGGAACACCGGUGGCGAAGGCGAUUCUCUGGGCCUUAACUGACGCUGAGGAGCGAAAGCGUGGGGAGCGAACAGG